rnacentral:rRNA from 1 species
CGGACGGGUGAGUAAUGUCUGGGAAACUGCCCGAUGGAGGGGGAUAACUACUGGAAACGGUAGCUAAUACCGCAUAACGUCGCAAGACCAAAGAGGGGACCUUCGGGCCUCUUGCCAUCGGAUGUGCCCAGAUGGGAUUAGCUAGUAGGUGGGGUAACGGCUCACCUAGGCGACGAUCCCUAGCUGGUCUGAGAGGAUGACAGCCACACUGGAACUGAGACACGGUCCAG